rnacentral:rRNA from 1 species
GGUUCGAGUAUGAAUGAAGUUUUAAUAAUUUUUUUUAUUAAUUUUAUAAUGAAUUUUUUUUAUAAAUAAAAAAUUUUGUUUUUAUUUUUGCAAAGAUAAGUCUUCGUAAAUUCUUUUUAAUUUUUUUUUUAAAAAAAAAAUUAAAGUUUUCUAGGGUAGAAUUUUUUGUAUGUAUAUUUUUCUAUUAUUAGUUUAGAGAAUUACUUCGGAGUUAACAGAAAUUCAUAUUUUAUCUAGUUCUUAUAGUAAAGUAAGUUUUACAUCGGUGUUGUAUUUAUAUUGUUUGGGAGGUAGAAUGUUCAAUAUUUAAGACUGUUCUUCUUUUUAAUAUAACGUGAUAUUAGUUUAAUUCAUCGUGAGAUAGAAUUGUUUAUCUUGAAAAAUAAUUUUUUUUUUUUAGGUUUUUAGUACGAAAGGAAAAAUAGUUGAAGUUAAAAACUUUAUGAUUGUACGG